rnacentral:rRNA from 1 species
CCUACGGGAGGCAGCAGUGGGGGAUAUUGCACAAUGGGGGAAACCCUGAUGCAGCGACGCCGCGUGAGUGAAGAAGUAUUUCGGUAUGUAAAGCUCUAUCAGCAGGGAAGAAAAAAGACGGUACCGGACGAAGAAGCCCCGGCUAACUACGUGCCAGCAGCCGCGGUAAAACGGAGGGGGCAAGCGUUAUCCGGAUUUACUGGGUGUAAAGGGAGCGUAGACGGCAAUACAAGUCGGAAGUGAAAUACCCGGGCUCAACCUUGGAAUUGCUUUGGAAACUGUAUGGCUGGAGUGCUGGAGAGGUCAUCGGAUUUCCUAGUGUAGCGGUUAACUGCGUAGUUAUUAGGAG